rnacentral:lncRNA from 1 species
UAACUAUCUAAUUUAGCUCCAAAGUGACAUAGUUAGCUACUUUAGCUCCAAAAUGACAUAAUUAGCUUAGUUAGGUAAAAAUAUCAUAAUAACCUUUGGUAUCUCCUAUCUUAGCGGACUUCCUCCUAAAUGACAUAAUAAGCUCAAAAUGAGAAAAGUAUUGUAAUCAUUCUCUUCUUGUUCUUCUCAUUCUUCUUCUUCUUCUUCUUCUUCUUCUUCUCCUUCUUCUUAUUCUCCUUCUUCUUCUCCUUCUUCUUCUCCUCCUCCUCCUCCUCCUUCUUCUUCUUCUCCUUCUUCUUCUUCUUCUUCUCGUUCUCCUAUUUCUUAUCCAAUUUCUUCAUCUCCUUAGAUUAUUUUCCCAACAAAGACAUACUUAGCUAAUUAUCCUCCAAAAUGACAUAAUUACCUAAUUUAGCUCCAAGAUGACAUAAUUAGCUACUUUAGCUCCAAAAUGAGAUAAUUAGGUGAGUUUGGUAACAAACAUCACAAGAACCUUGGCUAGCUCAU